CUCCUACGGGGGGCAGCAGUGGGGAAUAUUGGGCAAUGGGCGCAAGCCUGACCCAGCAACGCCGCGUGAAGGAAGAAGGCUUUCGGGUUGUAAACUUCUUUUCUUGGGGACGAAGAAAGUGACGGUACCCAAGGAAUAAGCCACGGCUAACUACGUGCCAGCAGCCGCGGUAAUACGUAGGUGGCAAGCGUUAUCCGGAUUUACUGGGUGUAAAGGGCGUGUAGGCGGGGAAGCAAGUCAGAUGUGAAAUUCCAGGGCUCAACCCUGGAACUGCAUUUGAAACUGUUUUUCUUGAGUGAUGGAGG
rnacentral:rRNA from 1 species